GCAGGCACACAGGGAACGCACUUCCGCUGCAGUCUUUGUGAGCUCGCUAUACGGUUUCUCUCCGUGAGAAGAGAAGCUGUUUGUGUUAUUAACGUUUGUGUUAUCGUUCGUGGACGGUGGAAAACAGCUUUGCUGGGAUCUUUAAACAAGGAUGCUCUUUACUCGAAGACGACGUGGGCUUAACUUUGGAUAUUGGAGCCUGUUUUUAAUCGUGACGUCGAAAAAACGAAGCUUAUCAGCAGCUUUCACCGUCUUCAUGUUUGCUGACGUGUGGGAUCAGGCACAAAGGAGCUGCUAGUAUGUUUUUAGAGCCUCUGCAUGUCGGGGAAGGAGGAAGAGGGCGACUUUACUUGGUGUCAGAGACAGAAAUGAGAAAAAGCUGAAAUGAGUGAGAAGGACGAUGAAGGAAACAUCUGUGCUGUGUCUGCUCUGUAAGUAGAAUCUCCUGCACUACAGAGCAGGUUUAUUAUACCCAGGGUAUGUUUCUGUUGUUCAGAUUAGUUUACGCUAACAUUGGUGAUCAGGAUAUUCUGUCAUAUGAAGCUGAUAUGAGUUGAUAAAACUCACUCCGUUAACUCGGGUUUCCCUCCCUGCACCUCCACAUGUGCUGUUUUCACACAGUUAUGGAUAAACACUUCACGCAAGUCGAGCUGCCCGAGAUUCACAGAAUUUACAGAAAAAGUUACAUUUUUGUGAUUUAUAUGUUUUAUAUCGGGAUAUGAGAGUUUGGUCAUAUCGCACAGCCCUAUUAAGGAUAGAAAAGAAUGAUAAUACAUAAAUAGAAUAGUACACAGAAUAAAUGUGCUGCUCAAAAAACAAAGGGAAAAACUUAAACAACACAAUGUAACUCCAAGCCAAUCACACUUCUUAAAAUCAAACUGCCCACUUAGGAAGCAACACUGAUUGACAAUCAAUGCCACACACUGUUGUGCUCAUGGAUUAGACAACAGGUGGAAAUUAUUAGCAAGACAUCCCAAUAAAGGAGUGUUUCUGCAGGUGGUGACCACAGACCUUCUCAGUGCUGAUGCUUUCUGGCUCAUGUUUUCACUCUAGUGAUAGAUUGAGACGAAGUCUACAAUCCACACAAGUGGCUCAGGUAGUGCAGCUCAUCCAGGAUCACAUCAGUGUGAGCUGUGGCAGGAAGGUUUGCUGUGUCUGUCAGUGUAGUGUCCAGAGCAUGGAGGCGCUACCAGGAGACAGGCCGCUACAUCAGAAGGUUGGAGGAGGGCAACAACCCAGCAGCAGGACCUUUACCUCCACCUUUGUGGAAGGAGGAACAGGAGUAGCACUGCCAGAGCCUGCAAAAUAACCUCCAGCAGGCCACAAAUGUACACGUGUCUGCUCAAAUGGUUACAAACAGACUCCAUGAGGGUGGCAUGAGGGCCCAACGUCCACAGGUGGAGGUUUACAGCCCAGCACCGUGCAGGACGUUUUGCAUUUGCCAGAGAACACCAAGAUGGCAACUUUGCCACUGGCAAUGAAAGCAGAAUCACACUGAGCACAUGUGACAGACGUGACAGAGUUUGGACACAGUGUGGAGAACCUUCUGCUGCCUCCAACACCCUCCAGCAUGAUGGUUCAGCAGUGGGUCAGUAAUGGUGUGGGGUGGCAUUUCUUUGGAGGGACUGCACAGCCCUCCAUGUGUUCAUCAGAGGAAGCCUGACUGCCUUUAGGUACUGAGAUGAGAUCCUCAGACCCCCUUGUGAGACCAUAUGUUGGUGCAGGUAGCUCUGGUUUCCUCCUAAUGCAAGACGAAGCUGAACCUCAUGUGGCUGCAGUGUGUCAGCAUUUCCUGCAGGACGAAGGCAUUGAUGCUGUGGACUGGUCCAGCUGUUCCCCAGACCUGAAUCAACCCAGCACAUCUGGGACAUCAUGUUUCGCUCCAUCCACCAACUGCACCACAGACUGUCCAGGAGUUGGCAGAUGCUUCAGUGCAGGUCUGAGAGGAGGUCCCUCAGGAGACCAUCCACCACCUCAUCAGGAGCAUGUCCAGGUGUUGUAGGUCAUACAGACACGUGGAGGCCACACACACUGCCGAGCUUCACUUUGACUUGUUGUAAGGACAUUACUGUAGUGUGUUUUUCCUCUUUGAGUGUGACUCCAAAUCCAGACCUCCAUGGGUUGCUACAUUUGAUUUCCACUCAUCAUUUUUGUGUGAUUUUGUUGUCAGCACAUUCAACUAUGUAAAGUAUUUAAUAAGAAUAUUUCAUUCAUUCAGAUCUGGGAUUCUUAUUUUUGAGCAGUGUGCAACACAGACAGAGUCAACAGUGCAAGUGUUGGAAAUGAGAGGAGAGUGUUAUGUAGUCCAAGAAGUGUGUGGAGGGAGUCCAGUGUGGAGGAGGGCAGCAGGUGCUGCUCCUGAUGCUGCAGAGUCGUCUUCUGGAUGGAAGGAGGAGUAAACAGUCUGUGGGAGGGUGAUGUGGGUCAGCCAUGAUGUUAGUGGCUUUCUGAAUUCAAUUCAAUUCAAUUCAAUUUUAUUUAUAUAGCGCCAAAUCACAAUAAAAGUCGCCUCAAGGCGCUUUAUAUUGUACAGUAGAUAGCACAAUAAUAUAAGAGAAUAAUAAGAAUGCAGGGUGAGGUGUAAAUAUCCUGCAGACGGGGCAGAGAGCUGCCAACAAUGUGCUCAGCGUUUCCCACAAUCCUCUGCAGGGCGCUGUGGUUGGACGUGUGACAGUUUCCAUACAGACUGUGAUGCAGCUGGUUAGGAUGCUCUCUAUGGAGCCUCUGUAGAAGGUGUUAAGGAUGAGUUUGUGGAGGCGCACCUUCUUCAGUCGUCUCAGGAAGGAGUGUGUACUAGAUUACUCUUUAGGACAUUAGUCCUUAGCUGCACCAACGAGACCUCAGCAACUGUUUAUUUAUUAAUGUCACAACUUAUUUUAUUACAACACUGGUAGAAUAAACAGUUUUUACUGAAUAAAGUUACAAGUUUAAGAGUCAGUAAGUCACUUUAAAUAUUGUUUGUAUUUGAUAUUGAUUGAGCCUCGUCUUCAUCUUUGCUGCGGCCAUGAUUGUGACCCUUCUGUUAUAAUGUCAGCACAGCAUUCUUACCUGAACUGUCCUCACCUAAUCCUGUUGGACAUGGCAAAUAGAUUCAUGUAACUUACACUGCAUACAUAUUAAAAUGGUGUAAAUACAUGGUACCAACUAUAUUAAUAGGACACUAUAUUAAGAACACGGGUUAAUUAAAUUAUUUAAACAUUAUAUUUUGAACAAUGUAAAUGUGUGAAAUGAAGAAUACAUUGAAAUGAUAUAAAUAAUGUAACAUCAAAGAUGAAUUAUUGAUAUAGAAGAUUUAAUACUGAACUGGUUGCUUCAUGAAGGCUGAAUAUGAAAUAUUUGCUCUGUAGGACAUAACAUAGCAUCUAUAACACAUUCUAACAAACAAACAUAUUCUAAUAUUAAACUAAACAAAGGAAUUCACUUUCACUCGUUCAUCAGUAAAGUCAGAGGCUGAGCUGGAGCUCGUGUCCCGUCACAGCCGUCACUCACACCAGAUGUGAGAGUAGUGCGUUUGUUCCGUGCAGCGUAACAAACUGGCUGAUUAAAGUCUAUAUUAACACUUUGAGUAUCUUUGAGUCAUUUUAUCUGAGUAACAAUAACAAAUUGAGCUGCACUGAAAACAGGUGAGCGUGUCAGUGUUCACAGUAAUAUUCACAGUAAAUCUUAACACUUGUUAUACUUUUUAAGCCAUGAGGAGGUUUUUUAAACUCAGACUCUCCUCUAAGCUGCACUCUGACAACAGUCCAGCUCCAUCAAUGAUCCCAUUGUAGUUCUUAUUUGUUACAUGAUGUUUAUAGUGAGUGGACUUCUUUGCAUGCUGCUCAGUGUCUUUGUCCCGUUGAUGGGGUGUUGUUGUCACCCUGCUGGGUCCAUAGGAGCCUCUACCAGGAGGCUGAGGGGCAGCGUUGGAGGUCAUCAGUGUUUUUAUCCUGAAGUUACCAGAAAGGCUCAACUUGACUCUUUGUUGCAUUAUAGAGACAGAAGUUUAAAUAGUGUUUAACAGGACAAUCAAAGCUAAAAUGGUUUAAAAGAUGAACUCAUUAAAAAAACACUAACAAAUCUUCAUGAUUCAAAUACUGAGAAGCUUCAACAACAAAUAUGUGUUCAAGCCAACAUGAUGUUUGCUCCUGUAACUGAUUGUUUUUCCAUCUUGUUCUCUGAAUAUGUUACCAAAGGGCUCCAUAACUAAUGUCAUUCAUUUUGUUUCUUAUCAUUGAAACUGUUGUAGAAAAUCCACUUUGUUAAGAAAACAGAGAAACGACCGUCUUUAUAUGAGACUUCAGAAAAAUGUUGUACAACAAGUCAAACUGAACAACAUCAGAGCGACAUCAUGACUUCCUGUAACUUUUCUCUAUCCAGCUAAACAUGAGUACCUUCCAUUUUCUCCUGCAGAGGAUUCUGGGAAAAGUCCAUCGUGCACUGACGUCCUCUGUGUGUGUUGUGCAGAUGCAGCUGCAGUCUGCUCAGCAGUGAGAACUGAAGACGGCAGUCAAAGAGAAGGAAAAACAGUCAGAGCUGAGAGAGUUUCUACCAGAGCCAAAUGUCAUCUACUCCUCACUGAAGUCGUCCACCAGUCCAACCACUGGAAUCCAGCUGCUGCUCUCUAACUGGUCCACACAGCAGCUCAGAGCUGACACAUUCACUGUAAACACACUGGUUUAUAUUCUGUUUGUUCUCCUCAUGAAGGAAACCUCACACAACCACUGAGGGAGGAAAGUUCAAACAGGACAGUUAUUAUUUCUUUCUUUUAUAAAGAAGCUGGGAAACUGACUUUCCCAAACUUUUUAUAUUAAAAAGAUAACAUUUUCUUUACCAAACCUUUCAGAAUAAAAGUAUGACCAAGACAUCAUUUAUACAUAAACGGUAAUAAAUCUUAUGUGACUAAAAUGUAGAUGUAAUCCAUGUUUUCAUGUCUUCAGUAACUUUCCUGUUAUUUAUGUUAUUUCUAAGUGUGCUGUCGUCUCCACAGCAGUGAUCUGGUUUCUCUGGAGGUUCAAUAAACUUUGGUCUCACUUGA